AGCCUUUAGACUACACUAGCAUUAAAGGUACUGCCUGCCCAGUGGGGGUUCUUACCCUUAAACGGCCGCGUAUAUAAACGCGCAAAGGUAGCAAAAUCAUUUGUCCUCCAAAUAAGGACCAGAAUGAAAGGCAACAUGAGAAAGAGACUGUCUCUUUAGGAAACCUAAUGAAACUGACCUACCUGUAAAAAUGCAGGUAUAAAUAAACAAGACAAAAAGACCCUGUGAAACUUAAAACGCGAAUCAAAAAAAUGAUUAACACGUUUUUGGUUGGGGCAACCUAAGAGAUACACAAACCUCAACAUACUGCAAGGCAAACAAGCCGCCCAGUAAACCUACAGACCCAGCACAGCUGAUUAAAGAACCAAGCUACUCCAGGGAUAACAGCGCCACAUUCUUGAAGAGUUCAUAUCAACAAGAAUACCUACGACCUCGAUGUUGGAUUAGGGUACCCAGAUGGCGCAAAAGCUAUCAAAGGUUCGUUUGUUCAACGAUUAAAACCCCA
rnacentral:rRNA from 1 species